UUUCCGUAGGUGAACCUGCGGAAGGAUCAUUGUCAUACCUUGAAAAUCAGACCGCGAACCCGUAACUAACACGCGAGACGAGGCACUGGGGCGACCCUUUGCCUCGUCCCGUCUCCCGCCGGCGCGUCCCCUCGGGUCGCGUCGUGCGGGCUAACGAACCCCGGCGCGGAAUGCGCCAAGGAAAACAAAACGAAGCGUCCGCCCCCGGCAUCCCGUUCGCGGAGCGUGCUGUGGGAUCGGAUGUCUAUCAAAAUGUCAAAACGACUCUCGGCAACGGAUAUCUCGGCUCUCGCAUCGAUGAAGAACGUAGCGAAAUGCGAUACUUGGUGUGAAUUGCAGAAUCCCGUGAACCAUCGAGUCUUUGAACGCAAGUUGCGCCCGAAGCCAUUAGGCCGAGGGCACGUCUGCCUGGGCGUCACGCAUCGCGUCGCCCCCCCUCCCCGCGCUUAACGCCGGGGAGGUUGGGGCGGACAUUGGCCUCCCGUUCGCCUCGGCGUGCGGCCGGCCCAAAUACGAUCCCCGGGCGACUGGCGUCGCGACAAGUGGUGGUUGAACAACUCAAUCUCUCUCGUCGUCGUGCCGCCUCGUCGUCCGCAAGGGAAUCAAAAAAACGACCCAGCGGUGUCGGUGCCUCGCAGCACCGUACCUUCGACCGCGACCCC
rnacentral:rRNA from 1 species